rnacentral:lncRNA from 1 species
CAGGUGUGCCUGUGGAGAGCUUGUCUGUGUGAAGAGCCUGUCUGCAUGUACAACGAAUUUUUGACAGAAAUGGUAGAAAGUCUGCCAAGGGACUAUUUGUUCAGAGUGAACAAAAGUGAGGAAACGUUUGAAAGUGUUGCAAAAGCCCUUAGCAGGUUCUACAGGGAGAACUGUAAGAAGGACUUCAAAUGCAAAGAUUACACUGAAGACAAAAGAAAUUCAGCAGUAUGUUACUUACUGGAAUGUCUGGAUGGGGAGGAACCUGAGUGUGUCUCCAAUGUCAGAUACAGUCUAGCUGAGGUAGAGUUGGUCAGUUUGAAAGGCUUCAAGUGUCUGGUUAAAGAUGCAUUCAAUCACAAAUAUAAUUCAUUACAACAAGUCAGAGAACAAGAUAAAGAAUGUGAUGAUGUUUUUGUUGAUGCAGUGUGAUGCCAAAAAGCAACUACACUUGAAACAUCGAUCCCACCCAAAAUGUCAUCAUCAACAGCAACAACAACAACACCACCACCAGCAUCAUCAUUAACAUCGUCAACAAUAUCAAACAGCAGCAACAUGGAGUCACAAAGAGCAGCGAUUACAAAGGAAGGUCAUAUCAGUCAGUACGUUGUUAGCUAUCUCUCUGAUAGCUAAUAUCAUCCUUCUCUUGGGUGUUGUCUACUUGUGGACCUGGGGGAAACGCCAGCAUGAAGGCGUGUCCCCUGCAAUUCCUGAACUGACAGUAUUGAAUGCAGUAGAGGUACAUAUUCUGAUGCAGAACGGCAACGGAGAUGCUCUGCAGCACUGACCCCGUUCAGAGGAAUAAUCCAUCUCUCUUCCAUCUGCCGCCAUUUUCCCCUCGCUUUCCCAGACAAAAAUGGAGAAAUAUAUAUCCUGAGCCAGAGAAAUGGAGCCAACAGUCCUACCUCUCUGUCGCUCUCUCUCUCGCACACGCUUCACACUUCCAGGGCUGAGGCCACAACUCUUCUUCUCCUGCCACUGGCAUUCUGGAGAUACUGUUGAAUAAGAGACUUCAGAAUAAAAGCAUUUGGACGUCGUAAUAAAAGCCUAUGGACUACAUAAUAAAAGCUUAUGGACAUCAUAAUAAAAGCUCCCCUCCUUGUGUUUUAAUGAGGAGAAUGGGAGAACUAAUAAAUAUCAGUCUGUCAAGAGUUGGAUUAAGGGAACAACGGUGGUCUUGAAUGACCACCCCCUGCCUUCAGCUGUCCUUUCAGGCCAAAGAUAAUAUAUUUAUGUGAAUUGGAAGAAAACAGUGUGAUGAACAACAAGAUGAACCCUUUAGGGGCGUACAUUGGAACUGAGAUGGUCUGAAAUUGAGUGUUAUUAUACUUUGCUGAAGUGCAGUACUUUACGAACAAAACCUGCAUCCAUUCCUGACUGUGUUUGGAUGAUGUGGCUGUGUUACCUGUUGAAAGGGGAUUGUAUGAUGCAGAGGGACAUCAGAAAAAUAUCAAAGGAGUAAAUCAGUGGAAAAAAGGAUGAAAGAAAUAAAGUGAAGACCGUUUGAUGUAGAAAGUGUGUAUAUAUACAGUACAAGUCAAACGUUUGGACACACCUACUGAUUCCAGGGUUUUUCUUUAUUUUUACUAUUUUCAACAUUGUAGAAUGUAGGGAAGACAUCAAAACUAUGAAAUAACAAAUAUGGAAUCAUGUAGCAACCAAAGAAGUGAAGAUUCUUCAAAGUAGCCACCCUUUGCCUUGAUGACAACUCUGCACACUCUUGGCAUUCUCUCAACCAGCUUCAUGAGGAAUGCUUUUCCAACAGUCUUGAAGGAGAUGCCACAUUUGCUGAGCACUUGUUCGCUACUUUUCCUUCACUCUGCGGUCCAACACAUGCCAAACCAUCUCAAUAGGGUUGAGGUCGGGUGAUUGUGGAGGCCAGGUCAUCUGAUGCAAUACUCCAUCACUCUCCUUGGCCAAAUAGCCUAGAGGUGUGUUUUGGGUCAUUGUCCUGUUGAAAAACAAAUGAUAGUCCCACUAAGAGCAAACCAGAUGGGAUGGCGUAUCGCUACAGAAUGCUGUGGGUGCCUUGAAUUCUAAAUAAAUCACUGACAGUGACAGCAAAGCACCAUACCACCUCCUCCAUGCUUCAUGGUGGAAAACACACAUGCGGAGAUCAUCCGUUCACUUACUCUGCAUCUCACAAAGACACGGCGGUUGGAACCAAAAAUCUCAAAUUUGGACUCAUCAAACCAAAAGACAGAUUUCCACCGGUCUAAUGUCCAUUGCUCGUGUUCCUUGGCCCAAGCAAGUCUCUUUUAAUUAUUGGUGUCCUUUAGUAGUGUUUUUUUUGCAGCAAUUCGACCAUGAAGGCUUGAUUCACACAGUCUCCUCUGAACAGUUGAUGUUGAGAUGUGUCUGUUACUUGAACUCUGUGAAGCAUUUAUUUGGCUGUAAUUUCUGAGGCUGAUAACUCUAAUGAACUUAUCCUCUACAGCAGAGGUAACUGGGUCUUCCUUUCCUGUGGCAGUCCUCAUGAGAGCCAGUUUCAUCAUAGCGCUUGAUGGUUUUUGCACUGCACUUGAAGAAACUUUCAAAGAUCUUGAAAUUUUCUGCAUUGACUGACCUUCAUGUCUUAAAGUAAUGAUUGAUUGUCAUUUCUCUUUGCUUAUUUGAGCUGUUCUUUCCAUAAUAUGGACUUGGUCUUUUACAAAAUAGGGAUAUCUUCUGUAUACCACCCCUACCUUGUGACAACACAACUGAUUGUCUCAAACGUACUAAGAAGGAAAUAAAUUCCACAAAUUAACUUUUAAGAAGGCACACCUUUUAAUUGAAAUGCAUUCCAGGUGACUACCUCAUGAAGCUGGUUGUGAGAGAAUGCCAAGUGUGCAAAGCUGUCAUCAAGGCAAAGGGUGGCUACUAUGAAGAAUCUCAAAUAUAAAAUAUAUUUUGACUUGUUUAACACUUUUUUGGUUACUACCUGAUUCCAUAUGUGUUAUUUCAUGGUUUUGAUGUCUUCAGUAUUUCUACAACGUAUAUAUAUAUAUAUAUAUA